GACGAACGCUGGCGGCGUGCCUAAUACAUGCAAGUAGAACGCUGAAGGAGGAGCUUGCUCUUCUGGAUGAGUUGCGAACGGGUGAGUAACGCGUAGGUAACCUGCCUGGUAGCGGGGGAUAACUAUUGGAAACGAUAGCUAAUACCGCAUAAUAGUAGAUGUUGCAUGACAUUUGCUUAAAAGGUGCAAUUGCAUCACUACCAGAUGGACCUGCGUUGUAUUAGCUAGUUGGUGGGGUAACGGCUCACCAAGGCGACGAUACAUAGCCGACCUGAGAGGGUGAUCGGCCACACUGGGACUGAGACACGGCCCAGACUCCUACGGGAGGCAGCAGUAGGGAAUCUUCGGCAAUGGACGGAAGUCUGACCGAGCAACCCCGCGUGAGUGAAGAAGGUUUUCGGAUUGUAAAGCUCUGUUGUAAGAGAAGAACGAGUGUGAGAGUGGAAAGUUCACACUGUGAC
rnacentral:rRNA from 1 species